rnacentral:tRNA from 1 species
UAGCUCAAUCGGUAGAGCGUAAGACUCUUAAUCUUAAGGCUGCGGGUUCGACCCCCGC